rnacentral:misc_RNA from 1 species
UCACCCCUCAAGCCCUCGGCUUGGUGUUGGACGGCUUGGUCGUGGAAAUCUCGACCCCUCCUAAAGACAAUGACGGCGGCCUGUGGCGCCCCCGGUACACUGAGCUUUUUACUGAGCACGUAUCGGACUAGGGUGCCCGGGACACGGUCCUCUCCUUUCACUAGGAAAUUUUUCCUUA